CGAACACCAGGGCAGCUUACUGGUUGAAAACAAUCCCAUUUACUUUUGCCGUUUUUGUUUACUAUUUUCCACCAGCUAUAGUGAAGUAGUAUUUGUGUCAUGUGACGUGUACGUACAUGAGCCGUAGAAAAGUCUAUGGGUACUUGAUUUUAUCAGUGUGGAGGAAAACAAAUCGUUGAACACACUAAUACAGUUACAGAUUGUCAAGUACUCUAUUAGGUUUGUUCCAGUACCAGGAGAAACCGGAAGUACUCCGGAGAAAAUCGUUCUUGUACUUUCGUCUUCUUUUUUGUUCUUCUGGUAGCAAACCGGAGUAAAAAGGUACAAGUAUUUUUGGCUUCUGUUUGCUCCGGAGUGACUUCCGUGUACUGGAACCAGAGAUGCCAGGUACUUUUUUCAAAUGUCUGCAAUAAUAAUUUUAAAAGUGUGGGAAGAACAAAAAAUGUCAGGAAAGCUAGUGUAACCAAAAGCCUUUAUAUUCAAAAAUCUGUAAAUAUCUGCAACCAAACUAAAAAAUCUGCAAAUAUCUGCAACCAAACUAACAAAUCUAGGAUGUGUUUUCAAAAGGUCGUAAGCGACAAAAGUAAACAAACUGAGCUAUCUAUGUUAUAUAACUCUUCUAUUAAAUUUCUAUCAUAUGACUCGAACGGAAUUCUCAAGACACAGUUUUUAUCGUAUACGGCUUUUUGGUUUCACACGGUCGUAAAUACAUCAGCAUUGGACUUGCUAGAAUGUGGAGAUACGCGUGUAGUCAAAGGACCGAAUAGUGACGAAUCAAAACAUUAGAUCUUUGUGCACCCAAUUUUCUCUUCUGCGGACUCUUCUAAUAGACCUCUAUCCCAAGCAUGUUUGCGUCACUUGCUUAAAGAAUGUUGAUUGUCUCUGAUGGGAUAUCUUGGCGUGAAAGCAACAUUUAGUGAUAAAAAUGGACACAAAUAACGGAUUUCAACUGCUACUAAAUGUAGCAGAACUUAUGCUGGACGACGAGGCAGCCAACCGAACGUCCCUUGAUUUGUCAUUUAAUCAUGUUGUUUCAUCUACACCGCUUCGUCAGCAUCUACCACAAGGUUUUGUGAUGAGUGAUUGCACGAGAACUAACAAUACGUCAUUAGUGGUCCAUACCAUGGAUCAAGAGCUUCUUCGAACUCCUUGUAUUAGCAGCAGCUCAUUAUUAAUUAGAUCAAUGGAUGAUCAAUUUCUUCGAUCUCAUCCUUCUCGGUACUCAAAAUUGCAAAGGCAUGAAUCAAAUCAAACCAUUCCUGUCAUAGAUCAGGAAAACGACUUACUAGUAAGUCACCAGGCAUAUGACUCGGCUCUACUAGUUCGAACUAUGGAUUCCCGGAUCUUGGGAACUCGCAACGCCCGUUCUGUUGAAUCAACGAUUAAUGACCGCGGAAUGACUACCUUGCCAUGGGGAAAGAAUCGUCUAUUCCAAUACAAUCGGUCUAUGACUUCGGAAACUGCCAGCGUAAUGAAACACAGAGUUUUUCAGACAGCUCGACGAAAUCGUUUUGGUGGUCGAUAAAACAAGGGUUCACUGGAUUGUAAUUUGGAUCGGUCAAUAAAUAUUCGGCCCUUUCAUGACGUAACGAAUCGGAAUGAGUCUACUACUAGGAUCAAGCGUUUCUGCGACAGGUCAUCAGACCCAUCACAAUGGAAUAGGCUAUCGAAUAUGCGUCGACGGCUUCCUUCUGGCGAAUUAUUGCAUCCUCAAAUGAAUCUAUCUGUGCAGCCAGUUGAAAGUACUCCUACGUACACUGAAUGCACUGAGGCUGCCGCACAAAUCGGAGAUGAAAUUACCACUGUCGAGGAAGAGCCUCAACGCAAUGAAAGUGAGCGCAGAAGAAAUAAUGAGGAUUCGGAUAAUACUGAGACUGAUGAAAGUAUAGCUGAUGCAGCAAACAGCGCAAACUGUACUAUAUUCAACGACGAUUCGGUGAAGGAUCCAGACUGGGUGCUUUCCAACACCAAUAUUGAUAAUGAGGAUGCAGAUGACGAAGGUGACCCAACUUUUCUUAAUAACUUAUCGAUUUAUGAAUACUACGAAAAAUUCAAAUCCAACUGUAAUGAAUACCAAUCGGAUAAUGGAACCGUUGAAUAUCAA